UGGAGUCGUCCUUGAAAUACCACCCUUGUAGUUUUGAUGUUCUAACGUUGGUCCCUGAAUCGGGAUUACGGACAGUGCCUGGUGGGUAGUUUGACUGGGGCGGUCUCCUCCCAAAGAGUAACGGAGGAGCACGAAGGUGGGCUAAACACGGUUGGACAUCGUGUGGUUAGUGCAAUGGCAUAAGCCCGCUUGACUGCGAGAAUGACAAUUCGAGCAGGUGCGAAAGCAGGUCAUAGUGAUCCGGUGGUUCUGAAUGGAAGGGCCAUCGCUCAACGGAUAAAAGGUACUCCGGGGAUAACAGGCUGAUACCGCCCAAGAGUUCAUAUCGACGGCGGUGUUUGGCACCUCGAUGUCGGCUCAUCACAUCCUGGGGCUGAAGUCGGUCCCAAGGGUAUGGCUGUUCGCCAUUUAAAGUGGUACGCGAGCUGGGUUUAGAACGUCGUGAGACAGUUCGGUCCCUAUCUGCCGUGGGCGUUGGAAAAUUGAAAGGGGCUGCUCCUAGUACGAGAGGACCGGAGUGGACGAACCUCUGGUGUUCGGGUUGUCAUGCCAAUGGCAUUGCCCGGUAGCUAAGUUCGGAAUCGAUAACCGCUGAAAGCAUCUAAGCGGGAAGCGAGCCUUGAGAUGAGUUUUCCCUGGCACUAUAAGUGUCCUAAAGGGUUGUCGUAGACUACGACGUUGAUAGGCAGGGUGUGUAAGUGCUGCGAGGCAUUGAGCUAACCUGUACUAAUUGCCCGUGAGGCUUAACCAUACAACACCCAAGGGGUUU
rnacentral:rRNA from 1 species